GAGAUUUCUCAUUAAAAGAGAAGUCAAAUCAAACUUGGUCUUUAUUUGGAUUUUCACUUGGUUACGUUAUACAUCUCCGUUUUAUUCAACUAGAAGAGUAUCCUUGAGACUACCUAUCAUACAUAGUAGCUACUUAAUGCAUAACAGUAGAUGAGAGUGAAUUUGAAUGGAAUCUUUUUCUUUAAGACUUGGAGAGCUGAGGAAGGUAGCUUCAGAUUACUCGUGUGUUAACUGGGUCAUGAAUCCGUGAUCCAACGUUUGAACAAGAGCAAAAUCUGAAUAGAAGAGAAAGGCUGUUGCAGAAAUACUAGUGAUGAAGUCUCACAUUGCUGAGAAGAGAAAACAAUGACCUGAUAUUUUAUUAUAAAACACAACUCUGGAGCCUUAACAACUCAUACCUUUCUCGGCCUUUUGGCUAAGAUCAAGUGUAGUAUCUGUUCUUAUCAGUUUAAUAUCUGAUAUGUGGGCCAUUGGUCCACACGAUAUUAAAUUACUUUUUUUAAGGGGAGAGGCCAACACAGUAGCUUGCUAUUGGGUCUCUCGUGUGUCGCCAUGCGUUGCACUUUAGCACGGGCCUGGCACACCCUAC